GGACUACUCGGGUAUCUAAUCCUGUUCGCUCCCCUAGCUUUCGCACCUGAGCGUCAGACACCAGCCAGGACACUGCCUUCGCCUUUGGUAUUCCUCCGGAUAUCUACGCAUUUCACCACUCCACCCGGAAUUCUAUGUCCCUCUCUGGUUCUCAAGUCAGGCAGUUUUCAGAGGCCUUGCUCAGUUAAGCCGAGCACUGUCACUCCAAACUUACCUCACCGCCUGCGUGCGCUUUACGCCCAAUAAAUCCGGACAACGCUCGCCCCCUACGUAUUACCGCGGCGGCUGGCAC
rnacentral:rRNA from 1 species